AGCCUGGGGACCAAGUGUACAUCAAGAAGUGGAUUACGGAUCCGCUACGGGAAUCAUGGAGCGGACCCCACCAGGUGAUGAUGACGACCUACACGGCGGUGAAGGUCCAGGGGAUGGACGCUUGGAUCCAUUACACCAGGCCAGAAAGUUGAGGCCAGUGAAGUUAUUGCAAUAUGGCAACGGGGGGCUGAAAGAAGCCGAGGCAAGACAGAAGUCGGUUGGGAUCAGGAUAAACAACAAGGAAACACGGUACUGAAUCUUACUAAGGCUGCAGGUGAACCAAUUCCCUGGGGAAUAAUACCGGUAACCAAAAUGCCUGAAUCAUUCAAGAAUGUUUCAUGGUCCUGCCAGUCAGUUCCUAAACAAGUAGAGGUAUGGAGGGAUUUGUGCAUGACCACUCGGGCUAUGACUAAAGAGGAAUGUGAAAUGAAACCAAAUCAUUUUGGUUGGAUUCAAAAUACCAGGAGGUGUUUGAUUGCAACCCCAGUAGAUGAGCCAUGUAAUACAGUACGAAUAAGAACAAAAUCCCAACGAAAUGAGAUGAGU